AUUGUCACCUAUAUCUGUACAUGAUACUACAUACUUAUUAUUGAACAAAGCGCAUAUUUUUUUCGUGCCUUUGUUUAUUAGACAAAUUGGCUAAAUGACUCAAAUAUCUAAGCUAGAAAUUAAUAUUAAGCGACUUUUAACACGUUGCGAAUUAAUAGCUAAAGAUGAUCCACAUAAAGACUGGAAACUCGAAAAGUAUAUACUUGCUCUGGAUGACAUGAUAAACAAAUUGCAAACUUUACCAAAUAAACCAUCCAAAGAUAUUAUGAUAAGCUACACUAAACGGAUAGAUUUUUUGAAUGGAAUAAUAAAUGCAACGAAAUUAUCAAACCUAGUAGAGAGAGUGAUCGCUGCACAAUUAUUAUCAAAAAACUCAACUUCUAUAAACGAUUCUACCAAUACAAACAUCACAACACAAAUACAUCAAAAAACCAUAGCAAAAUAUAAUCGGGAAUUACGGGCGGAGUUAUUUCACACUGACAAAACUACAAAUAGAGAUGGUGUACGACAAAGAUCAUCAAAUUCUAACAUCCAAGAUGAAGAUUUAGAUGCUAUUUUAAAGUACAAUCGUAAUAUUCAGGAGAAAAUUGCUGAGAAUAUGCUUUCCAUGACCAGCAAUAUGAAGGAACAAGCAUUAACAGCAAAUGCUAUCAUAAAAAAGGACAUUGGUGCAUUGGAAACAGCUGACAAAUUGACUGAUAUUAAUGCUGUUAAAUUAAAGAAGGAAUCUCUAAAGUUAGAAGAGCACACUAACUCGAAGUGGAGAUGUUGGGUGUGGCUUAUGAUAGCUUUUGUUUUGGUUGUAUUUUUUAACAUGGUAUUAUUUAUGAAAGUGGCAAGAAAGAAGAUGUAGACAAUAACUUUUGAGUUUGAAGAAUUUUUCAUUACAUGAAAUGCUAUGUACAUCACUGUGAACUCAAUCAUGUGAGUCAUUGGAUUGAUAUUAUGAUGCUAGAUUUACACACAGCCAUGAGUGUACUUUUAAAAACAUCUGUACCACCUAAAACCUCCUGGAAACCUGGUAAGGUGAAAGUGGUCAGGGCAUUAUGCAAAUACAAUGCGCAACGUACAGAAGAAUUGUCUUUCGAUGAAGGAGAUCUACUAUAUGUUUAUGAAAGAGAUACUAAUCCAGACUGGUGGAGGGCUAAAUGCAGAGAUCAAAAAGGAC